rnacentral:rRNA from 1 species
AACGAACGCUGGCGGCAGGCUUAACACAUGCAAGUCGAACGCUGUAGCAAUACAGAGUGGCGCACGGGUGAGUAACGCGUGUGAACGUGCCCUUUAGCACGGGAUAACAUCGGGAAACUGAUGCUAAUACCGUAUAUUCCCUGAGGGGGAAAGAUUUAUCGCUAAAGGAUCGGCCCGCGUUAGAUUAGGUAGUUGGUGGGGUAAUGGCCUACCAAGCCUACGAUCUAUAGCCGGUCUGAGAGGACGAUCGGCCACACUGGAGCUGAGACACGGUCCAGACUCCUACGGGAGGCAGCAGUGGGGAAUAUUGGUCAAUGGGGGAAACCCUGAACCAGCCAUGCCGCGUGAGUGAUGAAGGCCUUAGGGUUGUAAAGCUCUUUCACCGGUGAAGAUAAUGACGGUAACCGAAGAAGAAGCCCCGGCUAACUUCGUGCCAGCCGCCGCGGUAA